UUCUGUUACUGCUCUUUCACCUCAGUGAAUAACAUCCAAGAUUCAUUAAAGACUUUCUGCCUAACAGGGGGGGAUGCUCUGCACAGGGGCCAAGGGAAGGUGGGGGAAGAGACCUGCUCUGAGCACCUUUUCCGCAGCCUGGCUGCACACAUGCCCACCCAGAGGGCAUCCCGAGGGAACAGCCUGGAGGCCCUUCUUGCCCCUCCUGUUACGUGGAACCUAGUUCCUGGCUCUUACUGUCCCAAUCAGCUUCUAGAAGUUCUUGCACGGCGACAUAGCUUCAGAAAGAAGCCGAAGAAUGGCAGAAAGCCUGUUGCCAGUCAGGAGGAGGGAAGGCCCGUGUCCUCAGGCAGAGGACAGAGCUGAGUGAACUCUCUCAUGCCCUGGCCGAACGCUCCCAGCAAUAAGCCACGGAGUUAAAAGCGUACAGUGACGGCUGACCACCGCGUUUUAAAACCAGUCACGGCAGCCGCUGCCGCAUUUCGGACAGCCACAGCUAGAAGGACGCCUGCAUCAAAGCUCUCGCGCAGCGGAGCCGAAGGGGAUGCCGACUGCCCAGCGCCGCCCGCCUCCCCGCACCGCUGGGGGACGGAGCUCCCCGUGAGCUCUGCAGAAGCGGCGCUCAGCGCCCGGCCCGGCCCGGCCCGGCGCCCACCUGCCCGCGGCUGCGGCUCCCUCAGCGAGCGGCCCCGGGCCACCCGCGCCACGCCGCCGCCCCCGCUCACCUCCAGCGGCCCGGCCCGGCCCCGCCACCCGCCCGCCGGCCCCGGCCGUUAACGGAAACCCCGCGGGCCCGGCUCGGGGCCGCACCUCCCCGGGCACGGCCGCUCCCGGCCGCGUUUCCCAGCCCCGCGGGGUGGCUGCGGGUAGGGGCGAGCAGAGCGGCCGGCCCCCGGCACGGGCCGGGAGAGCCCGGUGCGGAGCCGGGAGCCCGCAGCCCGGGGCCGGCCGUGCCCAGCUCCAGCGGCAGGGAAGCAGCGGGGGCCCGGGGUGUCGGCGGGGUGGUGGGCGGCGUGGCGCGGCGACGGAAGCCGAAGGAAAGGAGAAAGGCACGCAGGAGGAGUCGGCAGGGGUUAACCGCCGGCAGUGCCUUACACAAAGCAGUACGCUUGUGCCUACAGAAGAAGUUGGGAUUGAAGGACAGUUCUGUGGCUGAGCUGAUUUAUUUGCCCGUUACAGUAAUUCCUGAAGAGGAAUCUAAACUACAGGAAUGAAAAGAGGUCUAAAAAAGAGAAGGCAUUUUUAUUACUAUAUAG
rnacentral:lncRNA from 1 species